ensembl:snoRNA
UGCCUCGUUAUUCAGCUGCUGGACACAUCUUGUGGUGUGUCUGGAAUGGAGCAACGUGGCUAGAGGAGCAACAGGUUGUGCUUUCCUCACUGUAAGGGUGGUUGCAGUGGUGACAAUGAGGCCUGGAACAGGG